GUGAGGAAUAUUGGUCAAUGGACGAGAGUCUGAACCAGCCAAGUCGCGUGAAGGAAGACGGCCCUACGGGUUGUAAACUUCUUUUGUAAGGGAAUAAAUAGUCUUACGAGCUAAGACGUUGCAGGUACCUUACGAAUAAGGAUCGGCUAACUCCGUGCCAGCAGCCGCGGUAAUACGGAGGAUCCGAGCGUUAUCCGGAUUUAUUGGGUUUAAAGGGUGCGCAGGCGGCAUGUUAAGUCGGCGGUGAAAUUUUGCAGCUCAACUGUAAAAGAGCCUUCGAAACUGGCAAGCUUGAGUGUGGAUGAAGUAGGCGGAAUUUGUGGUGUAGCGGUGAAAUGCAUAGAUAUCACAAAGAACACCGAUUGCGCAGGCAGCUUACUAAACCAUAACUGACGCUCAUGCACGAAGGCGUGGGGAUCAAACAGGAUUAGAAACCCUAGUAGUCC
rnacentral:rRNA from 1 species